UCUCAAGGCCAGUUUCACUGGUAACCAAGAAGGCAAUAAAGUAAAUGAAAAGAUAAUGAGCUAAGAAGACAAUGUCCUUAGAAGAUUAUGACAUAGGAGCUAUGUAGUUAUACCUUUAUCUUCACUCUAUCAAUAAAAUAUCGAGCAUGCGA